rnacentral:rRNA from 2 species
GAGUUUUGAUCAUGGCUCAGGACGAACGCUGGCGGCGUGCCUAAUACAUGCAAGUCGAGCGCGGGAAGCGAGCGGAUCCCUUCGGGGUGAAGCUCGUGGAACGAGCGGCGGACGGGUGAGUAACACGUGGGCAACCUGCCUGUAAGAUCGGAAUAACCCCGGGAAACCGGGGCUAAUGCCGGGUAAUACUUUUCUUCGCAUGAAGAUAAGUUGAAAGAUGGCUUCUCGCUAUCACUUACAGAUGGGCCCGCGGCGCAUUAGCUAGUUGGUGAGGUAACGGCUCACCAAAGGCAACGAUGCGUAGCCGACCUGAGA